rnacentral:misc_RNA from 1 species
UCUCCGUUGGUGAACCAGCGGUGGGAUCAUUACAGGACUCGCAAGACUCCUACAACCCUGUGAACUUAACUAUAAGCACGUUGCUUCGGCGGGUGUCUCGGAGGGGGUUCUCCCUCCCCGAGACGCUAAACCCGCCGGCAGCCUACUAUACUCUGUCUCUUUGCGUUGGCAUCUCGAGUACAAUCAAACAAGUUAAAACUUUCAACAACGGAUCUCUUGGUUCUG